GUCGUCAGCCCCCGACGGAGGGACCGGGUGACCGGGCCGCGGACAACGUCCAGGAGGCUCCCGAGUUCGCGGAAACGGCACACGAGUCGGGGGCGCCCCUACCAAGCCCUGGCCGCGCCUUGACCCUCGCGAAUGCCUCCUCAAGCUCUGGUGCCCCUAGCCGUAGUGGGUCGCACAGCGCCGAUAUGUCCUCGAGGACCUCUGCAAAAGCCAUAAAGUGGAAGCAUCUACGCCCCAGGGAGGGGCACUCAGAUCGCAGUCUGAUCCUGGCCCUUCCAGACCAGGAGAAGCCGCAGCUUAUGGAGGGACUCCCAGCGCUGCCCUACCAAGUUGGGCCCUUGGGGGAGCCACUCCCCGUCCCAGGCUCCGUCUCCCACUUGGGACAAGAAGAUCCCAGCACUUGCCAGGUCUGCAAGGUGGCAUUAGGGUUAGCGAGAGCGCGUCGCAGUCACUACACUGCGACCUGAUCCAGCAGCACCUGCCUGCCUGGUCUGCACCCCCAUCCCCAUCUCAAGCCCACCCCUGGGUUCUUUGUAUUGUUUAUCGCUCGCAACUAUAUAAUCAAAUUACCUGUGUUCGC